rnacentral:misc_RNA from 1 species
UUCAGCCAAUCAGGGCGGCAGGGGU